UAAAAACUAAAUCAUUUUCUUAAAAUAUAUCAAUUUUUAAAUAGUUUAAACGGAAACAAUCACUGGUUCAAUCAACCACAUUCCGUUUUGUCCGACAAUUGACGAAGUAAAGAAUGCGCGUGCCUAUAUAUAAACUUACACGAAACGAUUGCCGAAAGCUCUGGCGGUAAAUAUCGCUGCGAGUUCUAGAUGGGUCUAUUCGCGAAAGGGAUCAGAAAACAGUCGGUAGAGAGCGCCGCCGCGUGCUCGAGGACAAACGAGCAGUGGGGGGUACGCGUGGGCUGCAUGGUGUCGACGAAGGCAUCGGAAGCGCGAUUUAUCGCGCGCACACUCCGCGAAGAAAGAGUCGUCCCGCUGGUGGUCGUUAAUUCUUGUCGCACGUGUCCCACCGCUUUGAUCACGCGAGUAUGCUAAUUGCACCGUCCACCGCCCACUCGCUGCCAGUGCAUGGAAAAUCGUCGAGAGUUGACAGCGACCAAAAGUAAGAGGAAGAUGAAGGAAGAGAAGAAGGAUCAUGAUGAUGGAAGAGGGAAGGAAUAGCAGAAAGAAGACCAAGAGAAGAAAGAAGAAAAAGUGGAAGAAAGAGAAGAAACUUAACUUGAGUCGAGUGGGAUGGAUUUUGCCAUUCUCCAUUGGCGUGUACGUUCUGUUGGCACAUGCGCAAGUACCGAUUCCAAACAUCGAAAGACAUGCUAGGAAUAUAGGAUAAUCAGCUUAACAUUUUGUUGCGACGCAUUUUGUUUUUGAUACAUAAAUUAAAUGAAAGAAAAUCACAUUUUUCCAGCCAUUACAGUUUCCGUGAAAAUAUAACUUAAUGGACCAAAACGAAUUUCUAUGGAGAAGAAAGUAUGUCUGUGGUUUUCCAGGGGUAAAAAGGACGGUGCACGCGCCGCUUGCAGAAACGUUUCGUAAAUUCGAAGAAUGGCUGGAAAGAAGUGGCCGCCACACAAAGCGUGCCGACACAACCGGGCUCGUUUGCCCCGCGGAGGUAAUUGUCUUCUUGGCCGCACGAGAGCGCACGUAUUCCGCAAGCAAAUACACACCAAGAGGCUGGCUUACAUACAGCGUUCUCACGGGAUGGAGAAUAAACACCAUGGUCCGGUCUGUUACCGACUUUUCAACUUUUCGUUUCCUGGACACGGUUUGUUGGAACAUUCUCUCAUUCGUUCAGUUGUCGAUUUGUGGAUAACGAAUUGCAGUGAAUAGAAGAAACUUUUAUAUUGUUUAUAUUGAUGUUAUAUUUUAUUUCUCUUUUUCAAGAGAAGAAUUCUUGUAAUUGUAGAUAACAUUUAAAAAGUAGAAAAUAAAUGAGAUUAUAAAAAUGAAAAAAAAAAG
rnacentral:lncRNA from 1 species